rnacentral:rRNA from 1 species
CCUAUCAGCUUGUUGGUGAGGUAACGGCUCACCAAGGCGACGACGGGUAGCCGGCCUGAGAGGGUGACCGGCCACACUGGGACUGAGACACGGCCCAGACUCCUACGGGAGGCAGCAGUGGGGAAUAUUGCACAAUGGGCGAAAGCCUGAUGCAGCAACGCCGCGUGAGGGACGACGGCCUUCGGGUUGUAAACCUCUUUUAGCAGGGAAGAAGCGAAAGUGACGGUACCUGCAGAAAAAGCACCGGCUAACUACGUGCCAGCAGCCGCGGUAAUACGUAGGGUGCAAGCGUUGUCCGGAAUUAUUGGGCGUAAAGAGCUCGUAGGCGGUUUGUCGCGUCUGCUGUGAAAUCCCGAGGCUCAACCUCGGGUCUGCAGUGGGUACGGGCAGACUA